UAAAGUUGUUGCGGUUAAAAAGCUCGUAGUCGGAGGUGUGUCUCGGACGGUCGGUUCGCCGCUUGUCGGUGCUCAACUGGCCGGUCCGGACGUCCUGCCGGUGGGGUCCGCGAGGCUCCGUUAUCCUUCUUUGGUCCUCUUCACCGAGUGCCUUGGUGGGCCGGCACGUUUACUUUGAACAAAUUAGAGUGCUCAAAGCAGGCCGUUGGUCGCCUGAAUACUGUGUGCAUGGAAUAAUGGAAUAGGACCUCGGUUCCAUUUUGUUGGUUUUCAGAACUCGAGGUAAUGAUUAAUAGGGACGGACGGGGGCAUUCGUAUUGCGACGUUAGAGGUGAAAUUCUUGGAUCGUCGCAAGACGAACCGAUGCGAAAGCAUUUGCCAAGAACGUUUUCGUUGAUCAAGAACGAAAGUUAGAGGUUCGAAGGCGAUCAGAUACCGCCCUAGUUCUAACCAUAAACGAUGCCAGCUAGCCAUCCGCCGAAGUUCCUUCUAUGACUCGGCGGGCAGCUUCCGGGAAACCAAAGCUCUUGGGUUCCGGGGGAAGUAUGGUUGCAAAGCU
rnacentral:rRNA from 1 species